rnacentral:rRNA from 1 species
GACGAACGCUGGCGGCGUGCUUAACACAUGCAAGUCGAACGGUGAAGCGCCUUCCUUUUUGGUGGGUGUGGAUGAGUGGCGAACGGGUGAGUAACACGUGAGUAACCUGCCCCCUUCUUCUGGAUAACCGCAUGAAAGUGUGGCUAAUACGGGAUAUUCUGGGUCUGUCGCAUGAUGGGUCUGGGAAAGAUAUUGUUUCGGUGGGGGAUGGGCUCGCGGCCUAUCAGCUUGUUGGUGGGGUGAUGGCCUACCAAGGCGGUGGCGGGUAGCCGGCCUGAGAGGGUGGACGGUCACACUGGGACUGAGACACGGCCAAGACUCCUACGGGAGGCAGCAGUGGGGAAUAUUGCACAAUGGGCGCAAGCCUGAUGCAGCGACGCCGCGUGAGGGAUGGAGGCCUUCGGGUUGUGAACCUCUUUCGCCAGUGAAGCAGGCCUGCCUAGUUUGUGGGUGGGUUGACGGUAGCUGGAGAAGAAGCGCCGGCUAACUACGUG